rnacentral:lncRNA from 1 species
GAGAAUGGGAAGGUGCCACUUUAGAUAACAUUGUUCAGGAUCAGCCUCCCUGAAGGAGUUUGGACUGAGACUUGAGUGGCAGAAGGAACCUGGCUCUAGGCCAGGUGUGGUGGCUCAUGCCUAUAAUCCUAGCACUCUGAAAGGCCGACGUGGUAGGAUCGCUUGAGCCCAGGAGGUUGAGGCUGCAGUGAGCUGUGAUUGUACCACCACACUCCAGUCUGGGUGACAAAGUGAGACCCUGUCUCAAAAAAAAAAGAAGGAACUGGGCUCUAGAAGGUCCAGAGGAGAUUCCAGGAAAAAAACAGGAACAUUGGAGACACCAAAGGAGCAUCAUGUGCACGGCAUGGAACGAGCAAGUGGGACAAGCUGACACAGGGGAGAAACUUCCGUACCCUCUUCCUGUGUCCCUACAAAAGCCUGGACAAUGCAGUCCCAGCCCUGCUGCAGAACAUGGGCAGGCCCCACCUUCCUCCUUCCUGCAGGGAUAUCCUUUCCUAUAGAAGAGGUCCCUGUGCCCUUUGAAGCAGUUGGGCUCUUCUGCACUGACUGCCUCAGAGAAAGGAUGUUACAGUGGAAAACAGAACCGGGAAAAGACUUCCUGACUUUGGAGUUUCAAAAGCUUAGUUCAUUAGAGAAAUGGAAAAGACUCAGAAAGGAUUAAACACUGGGCAGAAGUAUUGUGAGUGAGAACCAAAUUCCUUACUAGUCCUACCACCUGAGCUUCAAGGAUUGUGGAUAUCCAGUGGGGAGGAGAACUGAUGGGGACUGGGGCGAGAAGGUCAGAUCUGAAGAAACUCCAGGGGCAUGAGCAGACCCAGCAUCCAUGGACAACGCAGUAUCCACUCACAUGAGCCUGUGCACCACCGGUGCAUCGGGGCUGCACUGGUUGUCUUGUCCUUUGGCAUCCAGUGAGGACUUCCUAGGAGGGCUGUUGGCAUUUUCCUCACUGACCAUUUAGCAGGAAUAACAACUGUCUUUGCCUCCAAACCUGGCUAUGUUGCAGUUAAGAAGACUGAUUCCAUGCGGUCAACCUAAUAUGCAAUAUCUCAUGGUGCUUGUAAGCCCCCAAGAAGGAGGAUGGGGCCUUUGUGUACGUGGCAAGGUAGUGCCAUAGAAGGAAAAGUUUCUGAGUCUACAAUUGAAGGCAAAUGGAACCAGCUCAAGAUUUUCCUCAAAGAAUAACAAUGGUCAAGCUCUGCUCCCACACCAAACUCUCCUUAUUAUAUGAUCCUCUGGCCUUCUACAGAGUGCUACAUUGCUCUUCCAUGUUGAAAAACUUUGAACUAUUUCCCACAGAGCUAGUCCAGUGGUCUAUUUGGGUGAUUCUACUCUGUGUUGCAUUUCUAGUCUCUGACCUAACCUUGACCUUGACCCUGAUCUUGGGUACUUGCUUGGUUUUCCUGGUUCUCACACCCCUCAUCAUAAACCAUGCCCUCCCCAGCUCCCAGGCCAGGUGUGUAGCAGGCUUUAUCUCCCCUUCUUUACUGGGGUGUCUCAAUGUCUCAGCCACCCUACAUACCUGGAGGUUCCUAACCUCCAUGAAACCCUCAAACCACAACCUCCCUCAUUUUGCCUAACAUGAAGUGGAUCACAGGUAACAUGGCAUCCUCAGGAUCACACCAUAAGCACCAGAUGGAGAAGGGUUUUGCCUGGGAUGAGUCAAGGUAUUACAUUAAUGGGACCAGCUUGGGCCAGCCACUGGCUGGGAUCCCCUCUCGUCACAUGGAAUCCCUUCCUUAUUCUCUUUCCUCCCAUGACUGGUAUGGUUAGACCAUCCUGGGGACAAACUCACCCUUCUCUUCACUAGAGGAAGGGUGGUGGGAGAGGAAAUAACUUCUUCUGCAGCCUAGAGGUGAGACCCAGAGGACCACAGGAAUGGGCCUGGAGGGCAAGUGGCCAUAGCUGAGACUUUAAAC